GGCGGGCGCGCCGUAGCCUUCGUCGCGGCCGCCUCCGUACGCCGGAGCGGGGGCGUGGCGCCCGUAGUCACCCCCGCCGUACCCGGCCGGCGCGGGCGCGUGGCGCCCGUAGUCGUCCUCGCGCCCCCCACCGUAGGCCGGGGCGCGGCCGCCGUAGUCGUCCUCGCGCCCCCCACCGUAGGCCGGGGCGCGGCCGCCGUAGUCGUCCUCGCGCCCCCCACCGUAGGCCGGGGCGCGGCCGCCGUAGUCGUCCUCGCGGCCGCCACCGUAGGCGGGGGGCGGGGCGCCGUAGGCGACGUCGUCGGGGCGGCGGCCGUAGGACGGGGGAGGGGCGCCGUAGGGGUCGGGCUCUUGGCGGCCGUAGGGGGCGGGGGGGCGGCGGUCGUCGUCGUCGUCGUCGCGGCGGCCGUGGCCGUGGCCGUGGCGGUGAGGGAACUCCAUGAUUGAUUGGCCUGUCGGUGGUGGUGGUCGGGACUCGGGAAAUGGGAACGCGGGGGGGUGGUGGAGGUGGAUCCGAUCCGAGCCUAAAUAUGUCGCGUCGCCGGAGUACAUGUCGACGGGCGGGUGAGGUGAGCGCGCGACGUGGCGCCAAUGGGACGCGCUCGCACGACCGACCGACCGACCGGCCGGGCCGAUUCAAUUUCGCAACUGGGCGAUGGCGAUCGGUGGAUCGCCACGUGCACAGCUUUGCACUACACACGUCGCGGAUGGUGGAAAAAUCGUGGUCGUAUCUCAUCCGUUGUUUCUUUUCCUUCGGAUGCCGCGGGAGAUCGGAUCGUAUCAAGCCAAACCAGUCAAGUACCAGCUCAACAAAAAUCAACCGAGCACUCAAUUAUUGCUUGAAUUUCAAGAAGAAAAAAAGGGAAAAGGAGAAUUCGAUGUGGUGUGUACGCUGUGGCCCAAUGGUGCAGCUGCGAGUUCUGAUUUCUUGUUUGAUUGGGGUUGCAUGCGCGGAGGCAGCGGGCGCCAGACGGCGAAUCCUAUUUGACGCUGCAAGCGUCGGUUAAAGUGUAUUUUUCUUAACUGACGCCUGCAGUUUUCGGUCAUGGCCGACCCUUCGGGAGGCGGUUUUUCCGUCUUUGUGAAGGUUCCGCAAGCUUUCUAGAUGGAUUUUCUUAUUUAUGUUUUUUAGGACUGGUUCUUCUUUGGUUUAUCUUUUUUUCUUUAUUAUUUUUAUUACUUUUUCAUUUUCGUUUUAAUAUUUAUAUAAUUUUUACUUUUUGAAAAACGCAGCCAUUUCUUGAUUAACUUUUUCUCAAACGAACAAAUAUUUUUUCAGAUCAAUGAACCUUUUUCAGAAUUAUAUGUUCUUUUAUUAAAAUUCUAUGAACAUUUGUGAAUAUCGAUGAACUUUUUUCAAAUUAUGAUGAACGUUUUUCUGAUUGAUGAACUUUUUGAAAUGGAUGAACCUUUUUAAGAAUUGUGAAAAAAAAUUCAGUUCAACAAUUUUUUUAAAAAAAAAUCAAAUUCAUGAACUAAUUUUCAAAAUCCGUUAACUUUUUAAAAAUGUGAGAAGUUUUUUUUCAGAUCACAAUGAAUUUUUUCAAAUUCGUUAACUUUUUGUUUCAAAAUUGGUGAACCAUUUUUCGCUUUUAUGAACCUUUUAUGUUCUUUUUUUUUUGGUUUUUAUUAUAAAAAACCCACCUUGAGCCUGGGCCGGCCCGUUAUGCACGGUGUGUGGGCGCUAGUUCUCCUAGCUGGCGCUUAAGGCGCCGCCUCGCCGCUAUGAGCUCCCGGGCCAUACCCCCCCCCCCCACCCAAGGAACUAGUAGUAAUAUAUUGGCUUAAUUAUACGAUGGACUUAAUCCACUUGUUGACUCGUACCUGCUAAUCGAUCCACACGAUCAACGAUACGCACACACUAAUCCAAUUUGAUGUUAUCGACUCUUUCCUCGGCGACGCACCAGUCGCUAGGGUUUCAUUGACGCCGCCGUGCUGGUCGCCGGUUGUCGCGUCGGGCCGCCACCGCCGACCCGCUGUGCUCCGCCCGUCAUCGACCGUGCUGCCGCCGACCAUGCAUCAAUCGAGUACAGAGAGUCCACACAGGCUAAGAAGUUGAACGGCGCUGCCGCAAGCCCACACACAAUCCCUAACCGAUGCUGUGCAGCUGUGUUGUGAUCAGAAGACGAGGUCUUGAUGUAAUGUAAGGUGUACAAUUGUCUAGUGUCUACAGACCAGGUUUCAUAUUAUUGUGGUUGUCACUUGUUGGUUUGAUUCAUUCAAUAGAUCAAUUAAUCAAUUGUUAGUACUUAGUAGUUAGUAAUAAUUUAUUUUGAUACUUGUGAGAUCAAUUACAUAUUUUCUUUUUACUUAAUGGAAGAACUGAAAACUGCAUAGGUCAUGAAUAAGAGGAAGACAUCACCGAUAAGUAAUGGUUUCAACCAAUUGCUACAAACUCUAACUCUGCGAUUGAAAAUGCAAAUGCAAGUGUCAAGGUAGAUGUCACACAGCAACCCACUGGUCAUAAUGUCCCCAAUCUCAGUUCAGUUGAUAUGCCACCCCCCGAGCAAAAUAUUCAGGUAUCUGUGGAAGUUCUAGAACAGCAAAGAAUUGGAAGCACACCAUUUGAGCGAGACCCUGGAAAGCGCAAAUAAAUUUGGGAACUCCCUCUUGAGAAGCAAAAUGAAGCACCUUGAUCGUAAAUCUCUCGAAAACUCGUCACUAUAGCUUAUCUGUGGUGGCACCAAUACUGUUAGAGAUUGGAGAGCUAGUUUCCUCUUUUUCUUCCUUUUACAUUUAACAUGUAAAUCCGUCAUCCAACGUACCGGGCCAUCUUUGUGCAAAGUUUGCUUGCACACUGACGGUCAUCGAAAGUUGGAUGGAUUUGAGACCCUCUUUCCUGCUCAUCAGCUUAUUGAUUGAUGAUGCCAGGAGGCAGGAGCUCUUUUGUUGAAUAAAGCUCUCUGACUGGAACACAAAAAAAGACACAACCAUUCAAAAAUGAUUGUGACAUUUACAAAAGUAUUCACGCUCUUCAAACAUAUGUUCACAACAUUUUCAGGAAAUGUCUAUACAACAGUAAAGAAAGUUAUGUAACUUCAAAUAAAUUGUACUACCAUUAAAAAAACUUUGUGUCAUCAUAAAAAAGGUUCACACGUUUCAAAAACAUGUUCGUAUUGUUUUUCUACAUAUGUUCGUACCAUUCAAAAAAUGUUUGUGACAUUGAGAAAAAUGUGCAUGUGUUUCGGAAAAAAUGUUGUUGAUUUUUUUAUACAAAUGUAAAAAAAAGUUUGCUUAGUUUAGAAGAAAAAAUAUUAUACCAUAAAAAAUAUGAUCAAAUAUGUAUUCCAAAAAAGUUGGACACGUAUUCAAAAAAAAUGUUCAAAGCAUUUAAAAAAAAACUAAUGUGUAUCAAAAAUAGUUGCUGAUGUACACAAAAAUGUACAACAUAUAUGAAAAAAUAGACAUGUAUUGAGAAAAUGGGGAAAUAUUAAACGUAUACGAAAUAGACAUCUAUUGUGGCAGUUCAAGACAAUAAUCGUAGUCGUCAAAAGGUUCUUCCUUUGCGACAGCAAGAACAACUUGGUGGGUAAUUUGUCAAUUCUUAAAGCCAUUCAUUCACCAUCACUUGAUUAAUUUGUAACUCAGCUAAUUAGCCACUAGCUACGACUAACAUCACUUGCAUAGCUUGUGGGGCAUCACUUUGCUUUCAGCACAAGAAAGUACUUAUAGUUAAUAAGUUAUUUGAGCUAAGUAGCAAUCCAAUGUGCGACGUGGAGUUUCUCAGCCCGCGCUCAACUGAGCUCGAAUGAACAGUAAAAGUAAAGUGAGAAAAACUGCGGCAAACCUAUUUAGCGUGACAGGCAUUGCUUAAAGGAAAAAGUUGCUAACCGGCGCCUGCAGGGCUCCGUAAUGGGCGGGCCCAUGUUGAGAUCCUUCAUGAACUUUUUUUAGCCUGUGAAAUGUUUUAGCCCGUGAUCUUUUUUUGAAAUCGGUAAACUUUUUUGAAAAUCAAUGAUAUUUUUUGGAAAUUCAUGAACAUUUCUGAAAAUCAAUGAACAUAAUUUAAAAUUCAUGAUUUUUUUCAAAAUCAGUGAAAUAUUUUUAAAAAUUGAUGAACUUUUUCAAAAUCAGUGAACUGUUCUUAAAAAUUGAUGAACUUUUUUCAAAAUCAAUGAUUGUUUUUUCGAAUCUUUAAACUUUUUGAAAAUCCAUGAAAAUAUUUUUCAAAAAUAGGUGAACAUUUUCAUAAUAAUUGAACUUUUUUGAAAAUCUGAACUUUUUAAAAUUCUGUGAACUUUUCUCAAAUUUUUAGUGACCAAGACAUUUUUUACAUGGGAGGAGUGCUUCAGGCGCCGGUUUCCCUAACUGGCGCUGAAGGCGCCAAAUACGAGGGGACUUCCUAUACCGUACCUUCAGCGUCCUCUAAGCCAAUUGGCGCUCGAUGUACCUUCCUAUACCGUCCUAUUUAAACUUUUUAAAAAUCCAUGAACAUAUUUUUCAAAAAUAGGUGAACUUUUUUCAUAAUAAUUGAACUUUUUUGAAAAUCUGAACUUUCUAAAAUUCUGUGAACUUUUCUCAAAUUUUUAAUGACCAAGACAUUUUUUACAUGGGAGGAGUGCUGCAGGCGCCGGUUUCCCUAACUGGCGCUGAAGGCGCCAAAUAGGAGGGGACUUCCUAUACCGUACCUUCAGCGUCCUCUAAGCCAAUUGGCGCUCGAUGUACCUUCCUAUACCGUCCUCUUUAAACUUUUUGAAAAUCCAUGAAUAUAUUUUUCAAAAAUAGGUGAACUUUUUUCAUAAUAAUUGAACUUUUUUGAAAAUCUGAACUUUCUUAAAUUCUGUGAACUUUUCUCAAAUUUUUAAUGACCAAGACAUUUUUUACAUUGGCUGGCCCAUGAGGAGGAGUGUUGCACGCGCCGGUUUCCCUAACUGGCGCUGAAGGCGCCAAAUAGGAGGGGACUUCCUAUACCAUACCUUCAGCGUCCUCUAAGCCAAUUGGCGCUCGCUGUAUCGAAUUCAUGGGCCGACCAACGACGCGCAACACAAGCGCAAAAGUCCUAAAAAAUGAUGGGGAUUGAUCUGCGACGGCGCGCUGGCCCAAACUUUUGGCCGGCCGCGCGCGAGCGGCAGGAUCCACCAACCCCGCGUCGUCCGCACCAUUGGAUCCGCAUGCAACAUUUUUUUUUCCUAUGCAGCAAAAUUUCGAUUCGAUGCGAUGCAGCAAUUUUUUUAACGGUUGCAACAAAAAACAAAAAUUGUGCCAAAAAAAUAUUUACGUGAUCGUAGCAAAAAAAUAAAGCUGAUGGUACGUGGUAGCAAAAGUCAAACGCCGAUUGUAACAAAUAUUUAUGUGACGUGUAUGCAACUUUUUUAGUGAACAGUUGCAGCAAACAUGAUGCCGGUUGUAGCAAAAAUUAACACGGUUGUAGCAAAAAGUAAAAAACAUCGAUUGUAACGAAAAAUCCAACGAACUGGUGUUGCAACCAAACGUAUAUGCAGCUUUUUUACUGAAACAAAAAAUAGUAAAAAAACGCUUGCAGCAAAAAUGACGCUGGUUGCAACAUAUUUAGACGAAAAAUGUUGCAUCCAUUGACCAGAAAAGCGCGCGGGUGGAAAAAAUGUUGCAAGGACCCGCGCGCGCGAGGGGAUGACCGGCGCGCGGGUGGGAAACGAUUCCCAAGAAUGAUUGGGGCUUUGACUCGAACUCAGGUCCUCUCAUUCCUACAUCUUCUCUGCUAACCACUAGUCCUAGAAGCUAAUAGUAAUCAACUGAACCUCAAAAAUAUUUAAGAAUACUCUAGCCACGUAGUUCCAAAAUCUGAAAGUUCACAUAUUUUUAAAAAGUUCACGAUUGUUUUCUUAAAAAAGCCUCACGUAUUCGAAAAACAAAAUCACGAAAUUGAAAAUUCAUUAAUUUGAGAAUAAAAUUUCACAAAUUUUCAAAAAAAUCUCUAAUUUAAGAAAAGUUUGUAAGUUUGAAAAACGUUAACAGAUUUGAAAAUGUUCACAAGAUCCACAUAAGUUCACCAAAUUGUUAAAAAAAUUCAAGAAUCUUUAAAAAGUUCCAUCAAAUUCGAAAAAAGUUCAUCAAUUUUGAAAAAAGUUCAACGGAUUUCAAAACAAGUUCAUUGAUAUUUUUUUUUUAAGUUCAUCGAAUCUGCAACAGUUUUAUCAAUUUAAAAAAAGUUCAGUGUAUUUUCAAAAAAGUUUAUCAUUUUUUAUAAAUAUUUUGAACAAAAACUUGGAAAAGGUUCAUUGGAUUCGAAAAAGGUUCACCGAAUUUUGAAAAUUUCAUCAAGUUUAAAAAUAGUUCACCAUUUCGUAAAAAGUUCACAAAUUCAAAGGAAAAAAAUCAUCAAUGUUGGAAAAAGUUCAUUGGUUUUUCUAAAAAAAGUUCAUUGUAUUUGAAAAAGUUUGUCAAAUUUGAAAGAAGUUCACUGAACUAGGAAAGAGUUCAUCAAAUUUUAAAAAUUGUGGAUGGAUUAAAAAAUAAACGACUAAGAAAGAAGGAAAAUUAAAAAGAAAAUAAAAACAAAAACAGAAAACAGAUAAAAGGAAAAAUGAAAAAAGAAGAAACAAUGAUAAGGUAAAAAUGACGUAUGUUGACACAUCAAGGAAUGUGGUUACCACUCUUCGCACCGAGCUAGGAGAUCCUGGGUUCGAAUCCUACUCCUUUCCAAUAUUUGAAUGAACAGACAGACGUAAAUGGGCUAACCGGCGCCUGCAGCAUUAAAUAGGAAAUGCCGAAAUGACGAAUAGGAGGUCCCAAAAAACUGUGUGUGCCUGUGCUAGAUUGGGUCAGGCGCAUGUCUGCCUCGCGCACUAGGCUUGGCCCAUCAUCGGUGUGCUUGAGACGAGGAAGUCUUAAGCGAGACAUAGAGGCUCUCACGAAGUAUAGCAUUGUGGACUGGAGUAGAAUAUAGUUCUUUUAAGCUAAGCCUAACCCCCUUUAUGGCCCAAUACAUAUAUAAACACUACACACUCUGUGCCGGCCUACAUGCACUGACCCGAACUUGUACUCGAUCUGGUCAUGGCCCACAAAAUUGGAUCAUUCUACGUUCGAUUCUCCUUUUCUGCUGAAAAAAAUGCAAGACAAUAGAGCAUUUUUUAGGAAGCAAUACCACUAUAUAUGUUGUCAUUGCAACAAUCUAUUAUAUUAAGAGCAUCUACACCCGGACCCCUCAUACAUGUCUCAAACGCCUCGACAGGCCGUCCGACCAGUGAUCGGUCACAAAAACGCGACCCAACCGAACCUCUUAAAUCCGUCUCAAACGCCCGAGCUGACCGGCACUGCUCAUAUCCGGCCCAAAUAUAGGGCUGAUAUGGGGCGGUCCGGUCACACCGGGUGUGUCUGCCCGGUAAGCCCGGUCCAACACUGACCCCACCGUUGUCCCACAAAAUCCCCACUUUGGCCGCCUCGUUCCGAACUCUAGCUCACUCUCUCUCGCUCUGUCCCCUCCUCCCCCUCUUCGAGUAUGAUCCCAUCGUGUCCAAUGUCGAUCUCCGACAGCCGCUCCGGCUCCGACGGUCGCUCCGGCUCCAACGGCUCGGACAUCGACCCCGAGGAGUUGGCCCUCCGCAUCGCCUUGGAGCGCGGUCCAAGGUGGAGACGGCCGGAAGCUCCGGAUCUAGCGCUUAGCCACUGGUCCCGCGUCGACGGAUCUAUGACAUCGAAGCGGGACCCUCCCGGCACGCGAGCAGCUCCGUCGGGACUGCGUCCGCACCUGCCCUGCGUGCUGCCCUUUCCCCGCCGGCCGCUCCUCCACGCGGGCAUCAUUGGGUCCUAGUACCCGCACCAUUGGCCUGCACGGGCACUCCGGAAUCGGAGGCGCGCACCGCCCACCGUGAGAGGCAGCGGGCAAGGGAGAGGGAAACAAAGCAGUCUGUGCGCCACCGUCGCGAGAUGCCGGCUGAGCCCGACAAGGACGAACGCCUCCUCGCAUGGGUGUACCUCGGGUCCCUCACGACGGCAGAGACGAGUGUUCGACACCUUCGUCAGAAGAACGCCAAGGCGUUUCAGCUUGCUAUUGAGCAGUCGGAGCGCGAAGCGAAGGAGCUAGCGGAGGAGAAGGCUCGACUCGCCAAGAUGAAGCGGGAGCAGUACAGGGCCGUCCGUCGGAUGAAUGGCCUCAUCGUCUUCUUGGACUCGGACUCUGACGACGGCAACAACGACACCUCGCCCUUUGACCCUCCGCCAGCCACGAACGGCUACAACUGCGUCGACGACCCACAGGGCAAAGGGCCAGCAAGGAAGUGGUGAUCUGCCCCCCCCCCUCUACGCAUUAUUUAUAUACUCCCUCCGUCCCAAAAUUCUUGUCUUAUUGUCUAAAAAUGGAUGUAUCUAAGUACUAAAACAUAACUAGAUGCAUUCAUAUCUAUACAAAUGUAAGACAAGAAUUUUGGGACGGAGGGAGUAGUUUUUAGUUGUAGUAACGUAAGAAAUUUGUCCGAUGAACUUGAGAUGAUCUUGUGGCUGAUGUUUGAUGUCCGUUUGAAGUUGAUUUUGUGUUUGUGCGUUUUUGAUUUUGUUGUCCUAUGUUUUUUCACGUACAAUAGCUCAACGUUGCGUGGGUAGUACGGAUAUGGGUGUCGGAUAUAAGACAAGCGGAUGUGAAAAGGAAAAUAUGAAACGCGUCUGGCCAGUGUACGAGACGCGACCGUUUGAGGGGUUAGAUUUGCAAGUUACGACUAUAGAUGCUCUAAAUACUAUCUUUCCUGGUUAAAAAGACACUUAAGGCCCCUCCCCACUUCACCUAUGUCUUCGGUUUUGCCGAUUCUUCUCAUUGAUUUUUCUUAAAAGACACCUCAACUGUCUCAUGUAUUUUUAUAGCUUAGCAAAUAAAAUUAUGUUUUCGUUGGUAUGUCUAUAGGUGCUAGUUUAAUUGACAGUCGAUAUAUUAGCAGUUAUGGCGAAGCCACAAGUUCAAAGUUAUGAUCUCAAUUCAUAAUUGUGACCAAAUACGUGUGUUUAUAUGAUUUUUUUUCUUUCUUGAUUUCUACUUAUAUGUGUUGCUUUUGCACAAAUACUGUAUAGUCAACUGACUACACAGAACACAUGUGGAGUCGUCAUUGUGUAAUCACACUUACACACUAUCAAUAAAAUGACGGGUAAAUCAUGAUGAGUGCGUGCAAAAUAUUUAUGCCUCGUUGCAACACCAACCAUUAUCUAAUAGUAGUAGUUAAGAAACAAUAUCCCUGGUCCUCAAAAGGUUCUCCCUUUGCGGCAGCAAGCACAACUUGGUCAGUAACUUGUCAACUCUCAGAGCCAUUCAUGCAUCAUCACCUGAUUAAUUAUUAUUUUUAACGCAAUCACCUGAUUAAUUAAUAACUGGUGAGGGUAUAUCCGUACACAUGCAGCUCAGCUAAUUAGCCACUAGCUGCGGUUGACAUCACUUGCAUAGCUUGUGGGGCAUCACUUUGCUUUCAGCACAAGGAAGUGGUUAAUUAAUCACUUAUUUGAGCUAAGUACCAAUCCAACGUGUGCUUUUGCUUCGUCUUAGGAAGCAGGUUAUGGAGCUGUCUCGUUGAUACCUAGCUACUUGGCACUUGCAGUGGUCAAACACUUGGUAGAAAACAUUUUUUAAUUUUGAGCGUGUUCAUUCUGAUGGAUCGAGAUAGCUUGACCCCUUCAAGUUAUAUGUAAUAAUGCACAUCGAUUGUACAAGCAAAAGGCCGAUUUAAUAUACUCAUGGCAUUAUAUUACUCCGUUGCAUUACGUGAGAGAAUUCUCAAUGAUGAGUGCCAUGCAUGCACAAGGUGAAAAAACAACAAAAACAAUGAAGCGUGCAUGGUUGAUCAAGGUAUCAGUUUACCAUCCCAUUGUUUUUUUUAUCUACCGGUGGUCUACGAAUUCAUAUGUGCUAGUAUUCAGUUGGUAUAACCAUAAUCAGCGAAAAAUUCGAUGGGGCAUCAUGUAUCCGCAGCUUAGUUAUACGCAUACAUACGUAAAAUAUUCAACCCAUGCUACAAAAAAUACUUUUAUCCAUGUGGCAAUCUUGCAUUGCUCCAUAUAUAAUUUCUCAAAUAAAUUGCUAAGAUAUAUUUAAUUAUUAGAUACACGCAUGCCUAUAUGGUUGUUUAAUUACCUUUCACAACAUUUAGUUACUUUUUGUCAAUAACAUUUAACAAAUGUACAACUUGUACUAGUAAGUACGUACAACAAACAAAAUGUAGAUAUAUUGUUACCGCGACGCAUCGCUCAUAGGAGUGGACACGAAAUAGAUAGUGAUAUUGGGCAUUGCUAUUUUCUCCUUAUUGAAUUAAUAUCACAAUUGAUUCGUGUGUACAAAAUAUGAGCAUGACGCCGAGCAGUUGAGUGGCCCCAAUGUGAAUUUAUUUCUAACACCACCUACACCCCAAAUCUAAUGUUGUUAUUCAUGACCAAGUAAUCUUAUUAUUUAUGUGCCUCGUGAGUUUGCUCUUCAUAUUCGGGUUUGCAUUUGUGCAAAUGUGAGCUUCAUUAUCUUCAUGUAUGUAGAUCCGGGUUCCCUCUGCUAUGAUACCAAUUGUAGGAAACCUACUAUGUGAUGGCUUUGAUACCCAUAAUACUUGAGAACCUUCACACUCUCAAAUAAUGGGGAUAACUCGAUCUUUUAUUCACAACCACUAAUAGAAAAACUACUUUACGUGAGAUACAUUAGUCCCUGUUUGUAAACGGACGGGCACUAAUGUGACCAUUAGUGCCGGUUUAAACGGCUAGGGAGGCGCGCAUCAUUAGUCAUGAUUCGUGUUGAACCUCUAGUACCGGUUCGUGACACGAACCGGGACUAAUGGAGUGGUGACAGGCUGGUGUCUGCCUGCUUCAACUCAUGAUACUUGGUACAAACUUUAUUGGUGUCUACCUGCCAUUCUCAUUCAUAGCGGGUCCUACUACUACCUUGGUUCUCUUUCUACCUUGCUUAGUUUGGUUUAUCUUAGGAGGGGAGUCCAUCCCUAUCUAGAGUUGCACAUGACCAUUAGAUUGAUGGCAGGUGGCAACCAUCCAAAACCAAUGCAGUCAUUGCUCUCUGAAUAACCUAGAAAACACCCUACAAAUAUCUUAUAUCUAGUGUUCUCUUUAAUUUGCCACAUAAUUUAUUCAAACAUUUGUUCUAGAACCACCGAGAGAAAUAACAACUCAUGUGUAUUAAUAUCCAAAUGAUCUAGAAGUUUCUUAUCUUUGAGAUGAAUAACUUCUCUAGUAUCCUCCAUGGCAAAUAUCUUGACGUUCUCGAUUCUUAGAAAUAUCUUCAGUGACCCAAGUAUGCAUUGCAUAUUAUCAACAAUAGGAAAUCGAUAGAGUAUCUCAAGAAUGUAAACAACUAUCGGCUAUGGCAUGUCACCGUAUGAGGCCAAAUGGUGUGCAUAUGUCAACAUAGGGAGGAUAUCUAGUGGCCAAGCACUCCCGGUGCUGCCAAUGCACAAAAUCACCAUUCUAUUACUUUCUUUUUUCUUAAAAUGUUAAGUGAGUCAAUAAGAUAUGUUUGUACAAUGUGUGAAAUUUUGAAAUCAAUUCAACCUACAUAUGAUGGAGAAGCAAAAAUAAAUAAAUAAAUAAAUAGAAAUUCAGCCAUGAUGGUGUUUGUAUUUUGAUUUUUUAUAAUAUUCAUAGUUGGAUUUAUCUUUUUCGAGUAAGAUGUUUUUAUCCUCUAUCUACAUACUCCCCCUGUUCCAAAAUAAUUGUCUUAAUCUUGUACUAAUCUUAGUAUAAAAUUAUACUAAUUUUGAGAUACUUAUUUUGUGACGGAGGAAGUGGAAUUUUGUGGUGCCGACCUCUUAGGUGGGACACACACAUGCUUCCAUCGAUGUCCAUGCAUAGGAUGAUGGGAAUAUCAGCAUCUGUCAUUUUUUUUCUAACUGUUUUUACUUCUUCCUUUUUCCAACUAGCUUAGCCUAUCAAUUGCUUGUUCGUGUACAUACUUGUGUGUCUCUCUCGAUAAACUUGUCGUUCCUUGGGUGCGAUGACUUCGCAAGGAAUCCAACCUUUCUACCAGUAAAAAAAAAAAAGACAAGCCAUUGCUCUCCUCUUUAUUUUAAAGUACAUGCACUUCAAUUAUGCACGUCUCUUCCCCCUAACACGAGCAUGCAUUAUAAGUUGCUACUAUUCUAUAAGCUCCAAUUGAUUCAUCCAAAGUCCAAGAUUUGGUUACAAUAAAUAAGGAAAGUAAUUUUAAACUAAUACGAAUUUUAUUCAAUGAAUGUUCACAAUUUACAUCCUAGUUCACCCUACAUAUACAUACAUAUACACACAAGUUAAACAUGCAUCUACAAUCAGUUCUACCUAUCUUGUGACAUAAUUGUGUUCUUCUUCUACUCCGGCCUAUAAUAUCUUACACUAAUCAAUUAACUUUACACAAUAUACGGUACUAAUUUAGCCUGAUCUACAAAUUAUGCAUGAGUAAUAUCCCCCUCGAUCCAUUGAUCGACCGGCAUCAAUAGUGAAUAAUUGAUUAAUAUGUCUGCAGUCAAAUCGCUAGCUAGCUUUCUCCUAGCCCUAAUUAUCAAGGUAGCAUGCAUGGAUCAUAUCCUGUCCUGCUGGGAAGGCUGGUCUGGCCCAAAUAUGGAGAAGCCGCCGUUCAUCAUCGUCAUGGACCCAUCGCUACCCAACCACCUCUUGGAAGCGUGCAACGACGACAUUUCACCAUCGUUAUUGCUGUCCGCCGUCGCCUGCCUCUUCCGCGCCGUGCUGGCCUCGCCGUCGCUGGCCCCAGCAGUGGUGCCGAGGAAGAACUGGCCGACGGAGGUUGCAAUCUCCGGCUGUGGCGGCGGCAUGCUGUCGAAGAGCUCCGAGACGGCUGAGUAGUCCACGAGGUAGUCGGAGAUGGACGGGUUCCUCGGCAGCAUCCGGGAGGAGGAGGAGGUGUCCUCUUGCUGCUGAUGUUGCUGCUGCUGCUGCUGCUGCUGGUGGUGGUGGUGGCCGUGGCCGAGGCCGAGGGUGGCGUCCAUGGACGACGGCGACGGCGACGGCUCGUAGAAGGGCGACAGCUGCUGCGGGUUGGGCUUCUUGUAGAUCCUGCACAGCACCCAAUCAUCCAGCUGCACGCACACAAGAAGGUGAAUCAGUGCCACACACGUGUGUGCAUGUAUGUUGCAACAAACGGUCGCUUGCUAAGCUUGACAGGUAGUUGGUGCUGGUUAGCUAGUAGGUUGUGGCUUGUAAGGUAAUAGUGCAAGUCUCUUUCUUAGGGAAGGAAGAUCCCAGCGGUGAAAGAAACUAUAGCUAAUAGGACGGACAGUGGCUUCCUAGCUCAUUGACCAGGUUAGUUGCUUGCUCGAGCUCAACUCACUGACAUCCACGCACACGCAACUAAUAAGAAGAGAACAAAAGAUUCCUAGCUAGCUCCAACGAGAUGCCUUCCUCGUUAAUUUGCAGCCGCAGAAAACAUGCAUAUGCAUGUGUGAUCAAUCAAGAAGAAAUAAUAAAGCAUGAAAUUACCGAGUACAACAAGAUGAUGGAGAGAGCCAUCGCAAAAAAAGAAAAAAAGAAAGAUGAUGGAGAAAGAGUUGUGCAUGCAUGCGUACCCUCAUGGAGGACGAGGCCUUGAACCGCGUGGGGGGCCGGUAUGUGUGCGCGGCGGCGGCGGCGGCGGCGUGGGCGUCGGCGAGGCGGUACUCGUGCAUGAUCCAGUUCGUCUUGUGCCCCUUGGGCGGACGGCCCUGGUAGAACACGAGCGCCUUCUUGACGCCGACCAUCUCGCCGCCGGGCACGCCGCCGGCCGUGAUGGGCUUGUCGGUGCCGGUGGCCUUCCAGUAGCCCGACCCGGCGGCGCGGUUGGGGCGGACGCCGUUGGGGUACUUGCGGUCGCGGGGGCUGAAGAAGUACCACUCGUCGUUGUCGCCCUCGAACACCGCGCGGGACGGCAGCUCCCACGGGUCCAGCUUGUAGAUGUCCACCUCCGCGAUGACGGCCGCCGGGCACGGCGCCGCGGCCGCGCGCCUGCGGAGGUAGUGCACGAUCAGCUCCUCGUCCGUCGGGUAGAACCGGAACCCCGGCGGCAGCCCCGUGCCCGCCGGCGCCGGGAGCGACGUCGGCCUCGUCUGCAGCUCGAUCGUCAUCACACACACCCGAUCGAACGCUCGGUCAGGGGCUCAAGGCGGCGAGGGAAGGGAAGGGAAGGUGGGUCGAGAGUCGAGACGGAGGAGAACUGAAAUUUUCGGAGGUGGAGGCGACGGGUGCGGUUAUAAAGGCGCCGAGGUGCUCCGGCGCAUGGCAGGCUCUUGUAAUUCUUGGCCGCCGGUGACGAGAGGGAUGAUGAUUGCAAGGGCCCUGCCGUACGUGCGCGUCCAUCCAUAUCACGUCAUCGGCGCUCGCAGGCUCACGUACUUGGCCAGAAUCUUCAAUUUGUUGGAAUAUUUUCUCUCUUUUUUGUGCCAUGUGAGAACGAGAGAGUGGGGGAAAAUAUAUCCGAAAAAGACAUUAGCAGAAUGAAUGGAUGAAAAUUGUGCAAAUGAUUGGAGAAGUUGGAUAUUCGGCUCGGUUUGUAGGACCGGGAAGCGUUCAUGGCCCAGAGGAAUACCAUAGCACAUGAAUACCAGGUACGGUGUUUUUGUGUGUGUUUUCAUUGACCACGCAGGAAUAGCUACUCCUAUGCAUGCAUGCACUGAUGCACAUGCAUGGUGCCAUUUGCUGCUGGCUGAGACAUUUCAAAGAAAAUUAGUAUUAUUCAUUGCUGAAAUGCAAAGCUCGGAAAAUCAUUGGAGUUGUCAUAGACUACAAACUACAAGUUGAUUGAAUUCAGAUCAAGAUUUUUGUAGGCCCGGGAUUAUCCGAUCUUCAUUUAAUUCUGUUCAUUGCUAAAACGGAGGGACUUAGGAGUAUGCAUGCACAUGCAUUAGAGUCAUCUGCUGCUUAGCUGCUAGCCGAGACAUACAAAAUUAUAUUCCCUGCUGGUAUGCAAAACCAUUGGAGCUGUCUAGACUACUAAUUGAUUGAAGUUGCUUAAAUAUCUCCAUCAAACUCUAAGCAUUCAGAUCAAGAUUUAAUCAUUUUCAUAAAGCGCACGAAGGUUCUACUUGCACAGUUGAAGAGUGAAAUUUAAGAACUGGUAGUGCGCAAUUUGUAGUAACUGAAUCCAAAAGGAAAGGUACCUACGGGCGAGUUCCACUUCAUAAAAGGGGCGGUUUUGGACAAGAUUGACGACUAGUUUAUAUAGCUAUAUAUGUGUAACAAAUUAACAACCAAUAGAACUAUAAUAUUGAUGAAAAUACUCCUUGAUACUAAUCUAACCAUAUGAUUCAUGUUUCAUAUCCAAAUAUAAAAAAAUGAUAUCCAUAGUAAAUCAUUUCAUCGUUUGACAUACAACAUGUAUGUAUUCGUGGCAGUAAGAAUUAGCAAACUAAGAAUCAUUGAAAUUAAUGAAAUCAUUAAAUCACUACAAAUUGCUACCGCCCGAUUGCUAAUUAGAGUACAAACAACAUUAUAGAUCCAAAUAUCCCGCAAAAAAAAGCAUUAUAGAUCCAAAAUAAUGAAACCUCAACUUCAUCAGAGCAUCUCAAUUAACUAGUGUGUUAUGUUGUCAGAAAUUAUAUAUAUUCAUAUCAUCGACUGUAUACAACCACUCCAACAGAGUGUUUCUAAGUUAAUUUGCUCUCUAUUUUGACAUUGGAUCUUAUGCAUGUCUCUGUUACAUUAUUAUAAACCAUACGUUGCCGAUUUUAUGAGCAAUAACCUACCCCGCGGCGGGGAUGGAGGGUGUGUGGUGAUAGACAAACACGGCUAUUGAGUGGUAACAAAAACCCUACUCAUUAUACGACUAAUACAGUAGAUACAGUAGAAGAUCUAAGUUCCAGUAGAUGGUGAGAGAAUCAAAGCUUGCUCUAUUUCCACCUUGGAGCUUGUGCAUAGCAUUAUGGUUCAUCUAAAUACAAGCUUCAUAUAUAUCCUUAUAUUAUUUAGUUUAAUUAUGUGAUGUCACAUAAAUUUUACAUGACAAAUUUUACCCAUGAUCAUGUCACCAAACACCAAAUGCUUGCGAUGCCGCUAGCUAUGAGACGAAAUUAGCUUACACCAUUAAUAUAUCCUUUUUUAGGCCGGAUUUGACUUUUGUGCCUUGUGAUGGGAAUGAUUGGCUUGCGUGCUAAACUGGCUUAGCUAAGCUCUAGGUAGUCCGAAGUCGCUGGAGACUCUGGAGAAAGCUUUUUCGUCUACUCUUACUCCACAAGAAGAAUAUGCACGACCGGGCCAUCACCUGAUCGAUUAUAUGGAUAGUUUAAUCUAUGGAGAAUUCCAUCAAGCCGCGCGACUAUAUAUAUAAUCUUCAAUUAUAUCUGAUUUUGUACAAGGUACUGGUGAACUAUGCACUACUCGAUCGAUUUGCUUGCGUAGGUCAGAUUGAAAAAACAGUGCACAUCAACUCAAUUAUGUAUGUGCAUAGGAUCGAAUGAUUCGCUGGGGAUAUGCCGAUAAACCCUAGGAAGAAGUUAAAGCUAGCUAGCUAGCUACUCCCUCCGUUACGGUUUAGAAGGCACAGUUAAACUUGUGUGCGUUUUUAAAAUAGACAAGGUUUAAACGCGAAAGCAAUUACUCCUAUUAAUUAGUACUAGUACUACUCAUGCAUGCGUCCUCCUAAUUUGUUGCUCACGCAUUAGUACUAGUAUUUUUUCAGUUGAUUAGGCGCAUUAGCAUCUACACCUGCUACAUCUCACAACCAAUCGGUGACUACCUUGGUACCAGAGAUUUUUUCAAACGUGUCUUCUAAACCGUGACGGAGGGAGUAGCAGACAUGGUUUAAGAGUAUACAAAUAAAUCCAGUCUUUUUAUGCAUGCAAGCAUGCAUUAAAGGGCCAGCACUAGCUCUUGUUUUGCACUUUUUUUACGAAUAACUGGCCUCAGCGUAAUUAACAACAUGCAUACAGUCAACACAUCUGAUUUUUAUUAAAACAUCACUUUAAAGGAACCAUAAAUAAGAAGUAGCCUGGGAUAUAUGAGGUCCUAUUCGAGGGUGGGGAAAAACAUUUCUGUAUGCUUCAAUCGAGUGGACACCAUCAUAAAAAGAUACAUAUCUUCCGGCCUCGGACAGACCUAGCUAGUAAGAAGUCAUUGUAUAUUUGUAUACACACAUAAAUAACCUUGAGUAUGGAGGUAGCUACUAGCCAAGUUGAUGAGAUUAUUGUGCAUGUGGUUUCUCUCUUUAGAAAGUGCCUGUGCAUGCAGCUUAACUUCUCCCUCGAAUUAACCUCAUAAGACACUAGCAUAACGUACACAUAAUCAUACUUAUAAGUUAUAAUUAAGCAAACAUAUGCACGCAUGCAUGCCACCAGCAGUACAUACAGUACAAAAUCUAUCUAUCUGAUCCAUUUCGCACGUGCGUGCUUUCAGGGACAGUAACGUUGCACAAGGCGUGACGGCGCCUUCUCUUCCUCCGGCUUAUUAUUACAUGCAUACCAAGGCUGUCCACGUGUACAACACCCGGCCGGCCUGUCAGAGUCUCUCUUACGUGCCGACCAUGGAUGCAUAUAAGCUAUAGCAGGAGCAUCGAUCCUACAGCUAGAUCAUCUUGAGGAGGAGUAGCUUACAUCUGCGUGUACAGCUGGUGCAUGCAACUGGUGGGUCCAUCAUCAUAUGCUGAUGGUUCAGCUAGAUAUACUUUCAUGCAUGCACACGUGUGUGUAGGUGCUCGAGCGGGUCCCGUCUAAUUCUUGUUAUGAAAAGGAUGCAGAGGGAGGGAGGGAGACUAGUCGCCGAUCAUGACAUCCACUCGUGCUAUGCUGGCUACUUCUACCCAUCUCAUACACGGUUUGGCAUGCCAAACACUGCUAGGACUUUUUUCUAUAUAUAUCCUUGCGUACUUAAUCAUAUCUCGAAAAUCGAUGCAUAUAUGGCAUAUAUACAUGCAUGCGCAAAGGAAAGUCUUUUUAGUUUUCAAACGAUAAAUGUCACAAGUGUGACAUGAAAUAACACCGUCCUGACGUUUUAUAAACGAAAAUUGUUAUCAAACAGAAAGUUGGCGUGCUUCACAAUUAAAAUUGGCAUCCUCCGAUAACUAAACUUGUCAUCAAAAAAUGUUGAAAUUGCUUCUUGCCAUACAUGUGACGUUUAUCAUGGUCCUUUAGUUUCAAGAAAAGUCAAAAUUGAUUCUACGUACCAACCGGUCAGCUUGGUUAAUUAGCUACCAACAAAAUUUGCAAUAAAAAUGAUUAUAAGAGGUUUAGAGCUAAAAUUGUAUUUUGGACCUGUGUGUUUAGCGCCUAUUGAAGGCAUAAAUCGAUGGAAUUUGGAUUUAAAAUUUUCGACGCAUUUUCUCACAAUUUGUUGUCUUUUGGUGGCCGGUGCAUGAAUAGUAGCACUGUAAAGUUUGACGGUACAUCAAUAAUAGAUAGACAAUAUUUUGAGUUGGAUAGAUAGGUACUUUCUCAAAGAGCAGUACUAACUAUCUUAGUAGCAAAGUGGCAUCUCUCCUAGUAUUUUCGGAUAAGUGCAUCGAUAUCUCCUAGUAACACACGUACGUACUACUUAGUUAUUACCAGUGUAUUCAUGUAGGCACACGUGGUCAGGUUCGAGUGGACGAUGAGUGGCUAGCGAGCUAAACAAGCUACCCAGCUAGUGCCAAAUAAGAGGGAAGAAAUGCAAUACGUGAUUGAUAGGACGAUGAUACGGACGGAUGGAUGGUGAUCGAUCAUCCCCGUACCCAUCAAAUAUCGUUUUCAGGUUAAAGCAGCAGCUAUUUCCAGAGAUCGAUAGCAAGACACGCAUGCACGUGUCGACAGGCCGGAAAGAUGGAAUCUAUUUUCAUGAUAUAUAUGCAUCAUUUGUUUAUUUAUUUGUGAAAGGGCAAAAUUCCAUAUAUAAAACAUCACAAAUCUUUAUAAAACAAUCUUACAAAAUUUAAAAAUACAUCUAAAUCUUUGGAGGUGCUGAAGUCUUCUUUCUCCUACACAUAUGAUGGCAUGCCUUAUUACCGUCUCUAGGACUUCGUCUCAGCGGAGUAUACUCUUUUUUGUUCGAAUUCAAUGGAGCUAACUUGGUGAAACGCAGGAACGAAACAAGUAUGUGCAUGUAAAAUUGAAACAUAAACACGACCAUUUGUGCUUGGUGCAAGAAGAGCAAAACGGCCAAGCAGCGGUGUGAGCUACAAGUGCGGAAACAAGCAACCAACAUGUUAUUUUUGCACUGCACCAGCAAAUGAUCAAGUUUCAGUUUCAAAAUUUGCAUGCACAUACUUUAUAUUCAUUCUCUACGCAUGCAUGAUUAUUAUGAACUUUUAAAAACUUACAUGAUGUGUUUUUCAGAACCAAAACUCACUAUAGAGAGUCCGACGCACCCAGUACCACAUUAGCACUUUCCAGGUGUAUAUGCUACAUCUGGUACUUCCCCCCGUUUUCUUGGUGUUGGAAACUUCAAACCUGACGAUCCAUCUAGUGGACUUGAUAAUUAAUGGUCAUGGAUAAUACAGUGAAAGCAUUUGUGGUGCCAUUUACUUGACUGCUACAUGCGGUAGCAGCCUCAUGAAGUCAUGAGUCUUGAUCGCCAUGGGUACGUACAGGCCAGCCACAAGAACAUGCAUUUUUGUCUUUCUCGUGACUCGAUCAAUCGAUCAAUCAUGCCCACAUAAUCGAAAUUUCUCUCCUCCGCCAAGUAAAUAAAAUUGUAUGUAUCGAUGGGGUUAACUGAAUUUCACAUAAUUGACCCGACCGAUCGAUCGAGGCAAAAGAGGGAGCGCAAAGUGAGCAACAUCAACAGCACGUGCCACUCGAUAGCUAGGUGCCAAACAGAAAGAAAGAUAGAAAGAAGUAAAACCGGCCAAGCAGGAGUUUUCCCUAUACGUGAAUGUGACCCGUUCAGUGCAUGCAUACAUAUGUAUAUUUAUUCCACUUUUGACCCGACCACAUCAAUCGUAUCUAAUCUCUUGUAGCACAAAGGGAUGACUCGGUUCCAAGUUGUGAUGUUUACUGUGUACCUCAAGUUGUUUGUCUAUUUCAUUGCUCUUCACUCUUAUACGACGCUAAGCACUUGAAUUUUUGAGAGACGUUAAAUUCAGCCAGUGCAACAGGAGCGUGCACCGGAAAUUUUCUUCUCCGCCCACUUCCUACGUUACGUACGCAUAGGUGGUCUUUGGUUGGGUUAUGGAUUUUGUGAAAUAAAUAGGUGGUCUUUUAGCAAACAUCUCAUACAAUAAUUGUAUUUUUGAACAGUUGUAAUUUUUAAUGACAAAACUGAAUAGUGAAACACAACUAGUGGCAUAAUGAUAAAAACCCGUUAAUGUGAGGAGCCAAAGGAAAAAAGAAGAAUGAAGUGGUAUGGGGAUCCUACUGGCAAUAUUUUGUACUACCUAGGACUACUAUUCCAUCAGCCACUCAUCAGAGUUCCUCUCAAAGAAACCAAAGAAAAAUGACUCCGGACAAAGUUGAUUUUUUUCUUUCAAAACAUCAUAUCACUGAAAGAAUAAUUAUGAGACAUCAAAACUUCAAACAUAGGGUUUGAUCCCUGAUGGGUUAUAGAUACCAUCAUUCUCUUAACCUAAUACUUUUUUUAAUGGAGGGAGCAUAUGACAUCCGGACGACUAUUAUUUUUCUGAGUUCUUAUUCGCGCACAAGCACACAAUCGACUCAGAAAAGUAAAUGAACUAGCUAGACGCAUACAUGGUACAUGCCACAUCUGGUGCUUUCGUCCCGCUUUCUUGGAGUGAAAAUUCCAAAGCAGACGAUCGAGUUAGCUAGUGAGCUUGGAUUUUGUGUGAUCGUCUAGUCUUGACUACUGGCAGCCUCUCUUAGUCUUGAUCACUACCUGCAGCCUGUCAAUAAACAUAUGCAUUUUGUUUCUCUCGUGACUCGCUCAGCCAAUCAUAUCCAUAUGAUUAAGGCGACUCUCUUCUUUCCGCGUGAAAACCAAUCGUGUCCAGGGUGUUGAUUAUAGUUGACGGGUUAAAGGAGGAACGUAAACAACAAGAACAACACGUGCUAGAUGCCCCGCUGCCAAUCAGAAAGAAAGAAGUAAAACCGGCCAUCAAAGCAGGAGUUUUCCCAAAGUGACUACUGUUCGGUGCAUGAAUAUAUUAUAUUACUACCUUUUCCCACUUUUGACCCGACCAAUCGUUCUAUCCAAUCCAUCCAAUCUCCUCAAGCACAAAGGGGGCGACGCUAUUCGAGGCUGCAGUAACGCUGUCAAAAUUCGAUUCUUUUACGACGCUAAUUAAGCACUUGAUUAUGGAGAUGCAUUAGUUUGGUCAGAGCAACACGAGAGCUACUGGUGCCCUAACGCACGACGCGGGCAUGCGCCUGAUCAAACUAGCACGGGCACACACAGUUUUCCUCACUUUAAUUUUACCGACCAUCAUGACAAAUAUCUUACUCGAGCAACUUCCUAAGACAAAAGCAAAAGCACACGUUGGAUUGGUAGUUAGCUCAAAUAACUGAUUAAUUAAGCACUUUCUUGUGCUGAAAGGAAAGUGAUGCCCCACAAGCUAUGCAAGAAUGUCAACCGUAGCUAGUGGCUAAUUAGCUGAGUUGCAUGUGUACGGAUAUGCCCUCGUCAGUUAUGAAUUAAUCAAGUGAUGGUGCAUGAAUGGCCUUAAGAGUUGACCAAUUACUCACCAAGUUGUUCUUGCUGCCACAAAGGGAGAACCUUUUUGACGAUUGGGAAAACUGUUUUUAGCUGCUACUCCCUUGCAUUUUAGUUGAUCUUUAAUUUAACUAAGUAAAUAAUAAGUUAUACUCUAGGUCAAAAUUAAAGUAUACCACACACUAGUAGAAAAAGGGCCUUUAGCCCCGGUUCGGUUGGGUCAUUAGUCCCGAUUCACGAACCGGGACUAAUGCUAGCCCCGGUUCGGCCCCGAACCGGGGCUAAUGUCCUUCCACGUGGCGGGGCUAGGAGCGAGGGGGGAGGGGUAUUAGUCCCGGUUCAUAUUACGAACCGGGGUUAUUUCAUCGCAGUUUUUUGAGCAAUUUUUGGGUUUAGGGUUUUGCACUAAAUUGGAUGGGCUAUUUUGCUGCCCCCUAUUUUCUCAUUUAUUUGUUACAUAUAUAUUGCACAACUCACGAAUAUAUUACACCAUCUCAUCCGUCGUGCUUUGUCGAACAUAUUUACAAAAUGUAGACAUGAGUUACAUGCACAUAUAUGCAUCUUUUUUACACUAUAUGAUUUCAUAUCAUUUCCGUCGAAUGGCAAUAGUAUUCUAAUCGAUCAUCUAACAACUCAUCAUCAUCUUAAUCAUAUGCCAAGUUAUCAUAUGAUACACAUAAAAUAAAACAGAGAAACAUCAUAAUAGUCAUCAUAUGCAUGCAUCCUAAUCGAUCAUCUCAAGUAAUAAUAUAAACCAGAAUAACUUGUCUCUCAUAAGACCUACUCCUCGCUCUUAGGUAUAAUGUCAUAAAACAGAAUAAUACCUAUGUUUCCAUGAUGAAUCACAGAGAUCCAACGGUCUCCAACUUGUGGCUCGCGAACCUUCUUUAUUUCUCUCCAUGCUUCAAUUUGAAGCCUUUUUUAUCUUGAUUUGAGGUUACUCGAGUAUGGAGCAUCGAACUCAGCCCUCAACGGGCUUCUAAUUUUCAUUUGACCUUCUGGGAGCAUCAUCAGAGGCACUACAUCAUUUGGCAGUUGCUGCUGAAGAACAUAAUAAUAACCUAGUUAGCAAUGUAAUCAACACUAUUUAUGCAAUAGUACAGCGUACUUAAUUAGAAAACUCUUACCAAGAUAUUUCGACGAAUGUCAUCCGGCCUCAACCUAUGCACUAGUGGCAUGUAAAAUGUAUAAUUUUGACCAAUUCCAAAAUUAUACGGGAAGGUAUCCCUAGAAACCAGAACACUAGCAACAAGAAAGUGGAGAAGAACAUCCUUCUCCUCCUAAGUUAGAUGUGAUCCAUAUGUGUAGUGUGUCGUGUCAAUUAAUUUCCGUAAUUCAGUCGAAGCAAUGCAAUAAGCUGUAAAUUAUAAACCGAUGGCCCUAAAAUCUAAAUGGCAAUAGCCUUGGGGUGCCUAGAGCGGGAGGGGAGGGGGCGGCAGCGCCUGGAGGGGAAGGGCUUACCGGACCGGGAUGGGGAGGGGGCUGAUAUUUGUUGUGUAUCCCCGGCAACGGCGCCAGAAAUGCUUCUGAUGUUCGUUGUGCUACUGCACAAAAGACCUUCUGGUGACGCUAGAAAUGGGCACGUUCACGGCACUAGGAAUUCUUCUGCGUUGGUGUUCCCUUGAAGCGGAAAGGGUGAUGUAGCACAGCGACGGUAAGUAUUUCCCUCAAUUUGAGAACCAAGGUAUCAAUCCGGCGGAAGAGUAUCUCAAGAUCCUGUACAAACACAAAAGCUUGCACCCAACGCUAUGAAGGGGUUGUCAAUCCCUUAUAGAUUGUUUGCCAAGUAAGAACUGAAAGCAACAAAGUAACAAAGCACAGUAAAAGAGAGUUGAAACGAUGGAUGUGAAUAGACCCGGGGGCCGUAGUGUUUACUAGUGCCUUCUCUCAUGAAAGCAAGUAGACGGAGGGUGAACAAAUUACUGUCGAGCAAUUGAUAGAACUGUGCAGAAUCGUGAUGAUAUCUAUGCAAUGAUUAUUUCUAUAGGCAUCACAUCCGAAACAAGUAGACCGAUACUUUCUGCAUCUACUACUAUUACUCCACACGUCGACCGCUAUCCAGCACGCAUCUAGUGUAUUAAGUCCAUAAGAACAGAGUAACGCCUUAAGCAAGAUGACAUGAUGUAGAGGGAUAAUCUCAAACCAAUGAUAAAAACCCCAUCUUUUUACCCUUGAUGGCAACUCCUUGAUGUGUGCCUUGCUACCCCUACUGUCACUGGGAAAGGUCACCACAUGGCAGAACCCAAAACCAAGCACUUCUCCCAUUGCAAGAAUCAUAGAUCUAGUUGGCCAAACAAAAACCGAAGACUCAGAGAGACUUACAAGGAUAUCAAAUCAUGCAUAUAAGAAAUCAGCAAAGACUCAAAUAUAUAUCAUAGAUAAUCUGAUCACAAGUCCACAAUUCAUCGGAUCUCGAUAAACACACCGCCAAAGAAGAUUACAUCGGAUAGAUCUCCAUGAAGAUCAUGGAGAACUUUGUAUUGAAGAUCCAAGAGAGAGAGGAAGCCAUCUAGCUACUAACUACGGACCCGUAGGUCUGAAUUGAACUACUCACGAGUCAUUGGGGGGCGAUGAUGAUGAUGAAGAAGCCCUCCAACUCCAAAGUCCCCUCCGGCAGGGUGCCGGGAAGGGUCUCCAGAUGAGAUCUCGCGGAAACGGAAGCUUGCGGCGUCGAAAAAGUAUUUUCGAGGCUCCCCUAAUUUUUUUGCGGAAUAUUUGGGAAUUUAUAGGUCAAAGAUCUAGGUCAUGGGCGGCCAGGGAGGCCACAAGCCUGCCCACCGCCGCCUCCCCCUAGUGGCGGAGUGGGGGCUUGUGGGCUCCCUCGAGUCCACCUGGCUUGGCCCAAAAGCCCCAUGGACUUCUUCCGUUCGGGAAAAAAUUAUUUCGGGGUUUUUCUUCCGUUUGGACUCCGUUCCAAAAUCAGAUCUGAAAAGAGUCAAAAACACGGGAAAAACAGGAACUCGCACUUGGCACUGAAUUAAUAAGUUAGUCCCAAAAAGAUAUAAAAAGGUACAUAAAACAUACAAAGAAGGAAAGAUAACAGCGUGAAAUCAUCAAAAAUUAUAGAUACAUUUGAGACGUAUCAAGCAUCCCCAAGCUUAACUCCUGCUCGUCCUCGAGUAGGGAAGUGAUAAGAAUGAAUUUUUGAUGCUUUCAUGCUACCUAGCAUAGGUGUCCUUUGUAAUUCCUCUUAUGUGACGUGAAUGUUCAGAUCCAUUAGAUUCAAAACAAUAGUUUGCUAUUGACGUGGAAACAAUAAUAAUUCAAGCAAACUAGCAAAGUAAUCAUGAACUUUCAAAAUAACAAGGCCGAAAGAAAGUUAUCCCUACAAAAGCAUAUAGUCUAGCUAUGCUCUAUCAUCAUUGCACAACGAAUUUAAAUCAUGCACAACCCCGGUGUUGGCCAAGUAAUUGUUUCACACCUUUACUUUCUCAAACAUUCUCAACUCUCACGUAAUACAUGAGUGUGAGCCAUGGUUAUAGCACUAUAGAUGGUGUGAAAUGUGGUGGAGGUUGCAAGACAAAAAGGAGAAGAUAGUCACAUUAACUAGGCAUAUCAAUGAGCUGUGGAGAUGCUCAUCAAUAGAUAUCAAUGUGAAUGAGUAGGGAUUGCCAUACAAAUGAUGCACUAGAGCUACAAGUAUGUGAAAGCUCUUAAAGAAAACUAGUGGGUGUGCAUCCAACUUGCUUGCUCACGAAGACCUAAGGCAAUUUUGAGGAAGCUUAUCAUUGAAAUAUACAAGCCAAGUUAUAUAAUGAGAAUUUCCCACUAGCUAUAUGAUGGUGAAAAAACGAGAGACUCUCAAUCAUGAAGAUUAUGGUGCGCAAUAUGCACAAGUGUGGAAAAAGUGGUAGCAUUGUCCCUUCUCUCUUUUUCUCUCAAUUUUUUUUUAUUUUGGUGGGCUCUUUGGCCUCUUUUUUAUGGGCUUCUUUGGCCUCUUUUAUUUCCUCACAUGGGACAAUGCUCCAAUAAUGAUGAUCAUCACACUUUCAACUCAAAACUUAGAGCAAUUAUGACUCUAUAUGGAAUGCCUUCGGUAGUGUACCGUGGCAAUGAUCUAGCAUGGCAUAGACAUCAAUGGAAACAUCAUGCUAGCUAUCUUACGAUCGUGCAAACGCAAUGUAUACGUGGUGGCACAUGUCAUGGUGCUAGUUGCAUGGCAAUAUAUCUUGGAAUGACUUUGCAAAAGCCAUAGUAGGUAGGUAUGGUGGCUGUUUUGAGGGAGGCUAAUGGUGGGUUUUGUGCACUGGCGAAAGUUGCGCGGCACUAAGAAGAUAGUGAUGGUGGAAGGUGAAAGUGCAUCUAAACCAUGGACUCAUCAUUAGUCAUGAAGAACUCAUAUACUUGUUGCAAAAGUUUUAUUAGUAAUCGAAACAAGGCAUUCAACGCAUACUCCUAGGGGAAGGGUUGGUAGGUAUAAUACCAUCGCGCGAUCCCGACCGCCACGCAAAGGAUGACAAUCAAAAGACUAAUCAUGCUCAGACUUCAUCACAUAGCGGUUCACCAUACGUGCAUGCUACGGGAAUCACUAACUUCAACACAAUUAUUUCUAGAUCCACAACACCUUACUAGCAUGACUUCAAUAUUACCAAAACCACAACUCAAAACUAAUUGAGAUGAAUCAAACUUCUCUAACUAUUCAAUGCACAUGAAGGUGGAAGUUUUCGUAUCCCUUUGGAUAUCUACCCCUUUUGAGACUACUUUCAAAGCAUAGAUCAACUACCAAGACACGCACCUCUGCGCUCUAAAAGAUAUAAGUGAAGCACAUAGAGCAAAAGUAUCUAGCUCAAAAGAUAUAAGUGAAGCACAUGUGAGCUGAAUUGUCUACCAAAAGAUAUAAGUGAAGCUCGACAAAAUCACGGUGAGUGCAUGUCUCUCUCUCUAGGUGUGCAGCAAGGAUGAUUGUGACACAACAAAAAUAAAAGACUCCUACGAUACAAGACUCCCCAAGCAAAAACACAUAACAUGUGGUGAAUAAAAAUAUAGCCCCAAGUAACGUUACCGAUGGAUUGAAGACGAGAGAGGGGAUGCCUUCCCGGGGCAUCCCCAAGCUUAGGCUUUUACGUCAUCCUUGAAUCUCUUGGGGUGCCUUGGGCAUCCCCAAGCUUGAGAUCUUGCCACUCUUUAUCUCUUUGUCCAUAAGAACUUCACCCAAAACUUGAAAACUUCACAACACGAAACUUAAACAGAAACUCGUGAUAACAUUAGUACAAAAAAGCAAACCACCACUUCCUUAGGUACUGUAGCAAACUUAACUUCUACUUGUGCUGAUGUUGGGUUACUGUACUUUCAAUUUUCCAUGGCUAAUAUCCCCCGAUACUAUCCAUAGUUUCAUCAAAAUAAGCAACCAACACAACAAAAACAGAAUCUGUUAACAGCAGACCAGUCUGUAGAAAUCUGUAUGUUUCAUAUAGCUCUGGUACUUCCAAAAUUCUGAAAACUUAAGACAGUCUGAAGAAUUUGCGUAGAAAUCAGCAGAAAAAAGAAUCAACUCAAAAGCUCUUACAUAAAAAAAAUAUAAAUUCUUUUCGUGAGCAGAAAGUUUCUGUCUUUUCCAGCACGACCAAACGAUCAUCCUCAAGACUAAUCAUAACGGUUUUGCUUGGCACAAACGCAAAAAGAAACACAAAAAACAUAUUCAUAACAUAAUCAUGAAAGUGUGGAAAACACAAAACAGAAAGAAAAAAGGAUAGAUUCGUUGGGUUGCCUCCCAACAAGCGCUUUUGUUUAACGCCCUUAGCUAGGCGAAAGUGAUGGAAUCACGUAUAGUCAUCUUUGGUACUCAAACCAUAAGUAGCCCUCAUCAUAGAUUCACAAGGCAAUCUUAUUUUCUUUCUAGGAAUGUGCUCCAUGCCCUUCUUUAAGGGAAAUUGAAAUCUAAUAUUCCCUUCCUUCAUAUCGAUGAUAGCACCAAUAGUCCUUAGGAAAGGUCUACCAAGAAUAAUGGGACAUGAAGGAUUGCAAUCUAUGUCAAGUACAAAGAAAUACACGGAUACAUAGUUCUUAUUUGCAACAAUAAGAACAUCAUCGAUCCUCCCCAUGGGCUUCUUGUUGGUAGAAUCCGCAAGAUGCAAAUUAAGAGAACACUCUUCAAUCUCAUGGAAACCAAGAAUAUCACAUAAAGACUUUGGAAUCGCGGAAACACUAGCACCCAAAUCACACAAAGCAUUGCACUCAUAGUUUUUUAUCUUGAUUUUGAUAGUAGGUUCCCACUCAUUUUGAAGUUUUCUAGGUAUAGAGACUUCUAGUUCGAGCUUCUCUUCAAGAGAUUUCAUCAUAGCAUCUACGAUAGAAAUGCAUUCAAACAAGGAGCAAUUAUCAUAAUUGAAUUCCUUGAAAUCCAAAGUGGGAGUUUCAUUACUACCCAAAAUUUUGACUUCUUCUACUCCACUCUCCACACCUUUAUCAUCAAGAUAGGUGGACUCCGAAUCAUCGGGGCGUUUUUCAACCAAAGUGGAUUCAUAUCCAGCCCCUCCAUAAGUAGGUUUGACAUGCGAAAACAAAGAUUCAAGAGGAGACAUACCAACCACUUUAAGAUCUUCGUGAUUUGCAUCACUAGAAUGCACCCUUUUAAACAUUCAUGUCUAGCGUGAAUUUGGACGGUUCUUUCUUUGCUCUCAUUCAUGGAGAUACGCAUAGCUUUAAAAGUUUUAUCCAAGUUGAUCUUGGGAGGAGCGCAUCUAACUUUCAAAGAAUCAAUAUCACAAGACAUCCUAUCAACGCACUUAGCCAAAUCGUCUAUUUUGAGUAGUUUUUCCUCUAUGGACGCAUUGAAAAUCUUUUGAGAGUUGAUGAACUCUUUGAUAUUACUCUCUAGAUCAGAGGGUAAUUUUUUAUGAUUUCCAUAAGUGUUGCCGUAGGAAUUGCCAUAAUUGUUAGAGGAGUUACUAGGAAAAGGCCUAGGAACAUAGUUUCCUCUAAAAGCAUUAUUGUUGCCAAAAUUGUUCCUACCAACAAAAUUCAUGUCCAAACUAGCAUUGCUACUCUCAAUCAAAGAAGAUAGUGGCAUGUCAUUAGGAUCUACGGUAGUAUUUCUACUAGCAACCAAAUUCAUCAACUCGUCCAUCUUAGCACUAAGCGAGUUAAUCUCUUCUAUAGCGUGCACCUUUUUGCUAGCAGACGACCUUUCAGUGUGCCACUGAGAGUAGUUGGUCAUGAUAUUGUCUAGGAGUUUUGUAGCGUCUCCUAACGUGAUUUACAUGAAUGUUCCACCUGAGGCGGAGUCCAAGAUAUUGCGAGAAGCGAAAUUCAAGCCAGCGUAAAAGAUUUGUAUAAUCAUCCACAAACUCAAGCCAUGAGCAGGACAAUUUCUAAUCAUAAGCUUCAUCCUCUCCCAAGAUUGUGCAACGUGUUCAUGAUCAAGUUGCUUGAAAUUCAUGAUAUCGUUAUGUAAGGAGAUGAACUUAGCCGGCGGAAAAUACUUAGAUAUGUAAGUAUCUUUGUGUUGGGUAACGUCGCAUGGGAAACAAAAAUUUUCCUACGCGCACGCCUAUCAUGGUGAUGUCCAUCUACGAGAGGGGAUGUGUGAUCUACGUACCCUUGUAGACCGUACAGCAGAAGCGUUAGUGAACGCGGUUGAUGUAGUGGAACGUCCUCACGUCCCUUGAUCCGCCCCGCGAACCGUCCCGCGAUCAGUCCCACGAUCUAAUGUCGAACGGACGGCACCUCCGCGUUCAGCACACGUACAACUCGACGAUGAUCUCGGCCUUCUUGAUCCAGCAAGAGAGACGGAGAGGUAGAAGAGUUCUCCGGCAGCAUGACGGCGCUCCGGAGGUUGGUGAUGAUAUCGUCUCGGCAGGGCUCCACCCGAGCUCCGCAGAAACGCGACCUAGAGGUAAAACCGUGGAGAUAUGUGGUCGGGCUACCGUGGCAAAGUUGUCUCAAAUCAGCCCUAAAACCUCCGUAUAUAUAGGGGGAGGAGGGGGAGCCUUGCCUUGGGGUCCAAGGACUCCCAAGGGGGUCGGCCGAGCCUAAGGGGGGAACCCUCCCCUUCCAAACCGAGUCCAACUAGGUUUGGAAGGAGGAGUCCUUCCCCCUUUCCCACCUCCUCUUUUUUUUCUCUUUGAUUUUCUUCCUAUGGCGCAUAGGGCCUUCUUGGGCUGUCCCACCAGCCCACUAAGGGCUGGUGCGCCACCCCCAAGGCCUAUGGGCUUCCCCGGGGUGGGUUGCCCCCCCCGGUGAACUCCCGGAACCCAUUCGUCAUUCCCCGUACAUUCCCGGUAACUCCGAAAACCUUACGGUAAUCAAAUGAGGUCAUCCUAUAUAUCAAUCUUCGUUUCCGGACCAUUCCAAAAACCCUCGUGACGUCCGUGAUCUCAUCCGGGACUCCGAACAACAUUCGGUAACCAACCAUAUAACUCAAAUACGCAUAAAACAACGUCGAACCUUAAGUGUGCAGACCCUGCGGGUUCGAGAACUAUGUAGACAUGACCCGAGAGACUCCUCGGUCAAUAUCCAAUAGCGGGACCUGGAUGCCCAUAUUGGAUCCUACAUAUUCUACGAAGAUCUUAUCGUUUGAACCUCAGUGCCAAGGAUUCAUAUAAUCCCGUAUGUCAUUCCCUUUGUCCUUCGGUAUGUUACUUGCCCGAGAUUCGAUCGUCAGUAUCCGUAUACCUAUUUCAAUCUCGUUUACCCGCAAGUCCCUUUACUCAUUCCGUAAUACAAGAUCCCGCAACUUACAUUAAGUCACAUUGCUUGCAAGGCUUGUGUGUGAUGUUGUAUUACCGAGUGGGCCCCGAGAUACCUCUCCGUCACACGGAGUGACAAAUCCCAGUCUCAAUCCAUACUAACUCAACGAACACCUUCGGAGAUACCUGUAGAGCAUCUUUAUAGUCACCCAGUUAUGUUGCGACGUUUGAUACACACAAAGUAUUCCUCCGGUGUCAGUGAGUUAUAUGAUCUCAUGGUCAUAGGAACAAAUACUUGACACGCAGAAAACAGUAGCAACAAAAUGACACGAUCAACAUGCUACGUCUAUUAGUUUGGGUCUAGUCCAUCACGUGUUUCUCCUAAUGACGUGAUCCAGUUAUCAAGCAACAACACCUUGUUCAUAAUCAGAAGACACUGACUAUCUUUGAUCAACUGGCUAGCCAACUAGAGGCUUGCUAGGGACAGUGUUUUGUCUAUGUAUCCACACAUGUAUUUAUGUCUUCAUUCAAUACAAUUAUAGCAUGGAUAAUAAACGAUUAUCUUGAUAUAGGAAUUAUAAUAAUAACUAUAUUUAUUAUUGCAUCUAGGGCAUAAUUCCAACACUUUGCACCUAUCCCAAGAAUCGAUACUAUUUUUAGGCAAAGAAGAAAACCAAGUUUUUGCGCGAUCUCGCAACGAGAAAGGAAAAAGUUUUAACUUAAUCACGUCAUUAUCCACAUCUCUUUUCUUUUGCAUAUCACAAAGCUCAAUGAAGGUAUUGAGAUGGGAUGCGACAUCUUCACUAGGAAGGCCAGAGAAUUGCUCUUUCAUAACAAGAUUCAGCAAAGCUGUGUUGAUUUCAUACGAUGCCACACUAGUGGCGGGAGCAAUCGGAGUACUAAUAAAAUCAUUAUUAUUAGUGCUCGAGAAGUCACAAAGUUUGGUAUUUUCAGACAUGAUGUCUUCAACAAACAAACAAGCACACAAGCAAGCAAGAAACCGGAAAAGGAAAACGGCAAGGGCAAGAGAAAACGGCGAAGGAGAAAGGCGAAUGAAAACAACAAAUGUGAAGUGGGGGAGAGGAAAACGAGAGGCAACUCGCAACAAAAGUAAAUGCAAGAGAAGAGUUUGUGAGACCUACUUGGAUAGAUCUUGAUUUCUCCUCCCCGGCAACGGCGCUAGAAAUACUUCUUGAUGUUUGCUGUGUAUCCCCGGCAACGGCGCCAGAAAUGCUUCUGAACUCCAUUGUGCUACUGCACAAAAGACCUUCUGGUGGCGCCAGAAAUGGGCACGUUCACGGCACUAGGAAUUCUUUUGCGUUGGUGUUCCCUCGAAGCGGAAAGGGUGAUGUAGCACAGCGACGGUAAGUAUUUCCCCCAGUUUGAGAACCAAGGUAUCAAUCCGGCGGAAGAGUAUCUCAAGAUCCUGCACAAACACAAAAGCUUGCACCCAGCGCUAUGAAGGGGUUGUCAAUCCCUUAUAGAUUGUUUGCCAAGUGAGAACUGAAAGCAACAAAGUAACACAACAAAGUAAAAGUGGGGUUGUAAACGAUGGAUGUGAAUAGACCCGGGGGCAUAGUAUUUACUAGUGGCUUCUCUCAUGAAAGCAAGUAGACGGAGGGUGAACAAAUUACUGUCGAGCAAUUGAUAAAACUGUGCAGAGUCGUGACGAUAUCUAUGCAAUGAUUAUUUCUAUAGGCAUCACGUCCGAAACAAGUAGACCGAUACUUUCUGCAUCUACUACUAUUACUCCACACGUCGACCGCUAUCCAGCAUGCAUAGUGUAUUAAGUCCAUAAGAACAGAGUAACGCCUUAAGCAAGAUGACAUGAUGUAGAGGGAUAAUCUCAAACCAAUGAUAAAAACCCCAUCUUUUUACCCUUGAUGGCAACUCCUUGAUGUGUGCCUUGCUACCCCUACUGUCACUGGGAAAGGUCACCACAUGGCAGAACCCAAAACCAAGCACUUCUCCCAUUGCAAGAAUCAUAGAUCUAGUUAGCCAAACAAAACCCAAGACUCGGAGAGACUUACAAGGAUAUCAAAUCAGGCAUAUAAGAAAUCAACAAAGACUCAAAUAUAUAUCAUAGAUAAUCUGAUCACAAGUCCACAAUUCAUCGGAUCUCGACAAACACACCGCCAAAGAAUAUUACAUCGGAUAGAUCUCCAUGAAGAUCAUGGAGAACUAUGUAUUGAAGAUCCAAGAGAGAGAGGAAGCUAUCUAGAUACUAACUACAGACCCGUAGGUCUGAAGUGAACUACUCACAAGUCAUUGGAGGGGCGAUGAUGAUGAUGAUGAAGCCCUCCAACUCCAAAGUCCUCUCCGGAGGGUGCCGGGAAGGGUCUCCAGAUGAGAUCUCGCGAAAACGGAAGCUUGCGGCGACGGAAAAAGUAUUUUCGAGGCUCCCCUGAUUUUUUGCGGAAUAUUUGGGAAUUUAUAGGCCAAAGAUCUAGGUCAGGGGCGGCCAGGGAGGCCACAAGCCUGCCCACGGCCGCCUCCCCCCUGGUGGCGGAGUGGGCGCUUGUGGGCUCCCUGGAGCCCACCUGGCUUGGCCCAAAAGCCCCCUGGACUUCUUCCGUUUGGGAUAAAAUCAUUUUGGGGUUUUUCUUCCGUUUGGACUCUGUUCCAAAAUCAGAUCUGAAAAGAGUCAAAAACAUGGAAAAAAUAGUAACUGGCACUUGGCACUGAAUUAAUAAGUUAGUCCCAAAAAGAUAUAAAAAGGUAUAUAAAACAUACAAAGAAGGCAAGACAACAGCGUGAAAUCAUCAAAAAUUAUAGAUACGUUUGAGAUGUAUCAGGGGCCGGCCGGCUUACCGGAGCGGGAGAGGGGAAGGGGGCUUACCGCAGGAGGGGAGGGGGGCGGCGGCGACGACGACGACGACGGCGAGGGAGGCGGCGACGACGACGAC
rnacentral:lncRNA from 1 species